CUUCGGACUUAGCGGCGGACGGGUGAGUAACGCGUGGGAACAUACCCUUUGGUACGGAAUAGCCUCGGGAAACUGGGAGUAAUACCGUAUGUGCCCUUCGGGGGAAAGAUUUAUCGCCAAAGGAUUGGCCCGCGUUAGAUUAGGUAGUUGGUGGGGUAAAGGCUCACCAAGCCGACGAUCUAUAGCUGGUCUGAGAGGAUGAUCAGCCACACUGGAACUGAGACACGGUCCAGACUCC
rnacentral:rRNA from 1 species